CUUCGACAUGCCAAUCACGGCGACUAUGUGGAUGACACAACCUCUAAUUGCGGUGCGGAUAUCACACACCAAUAACAACACAUGGCAGCAGAAUUGCGCAAAAUGAAUGAUCUGACUAAUCAAGUUGAGCAUUAGAGUCGCACAUAUAUCUCGUUUAGUGGCACGUUCAGCUGUCCUGAUAUGUGCUUUCCUUUCAUAAACCAAUUUCACUUGAUCAACAUAUUAUUGUUUCCUACUUGUGGAAAUCCGUGUCAUGGACAUCUUUAACUGUAACUAAGUAGUGCUGGGCCUGGGUGGCUUUGGCAGACUUUCAGCCACCCAAUGCCAAAAGAAGCCGGCGGUAGGGAAAGGACCUUUAUGCUGCUCCCUGGGAACCACUCUCUCUAAUUAAGGUCUGGCCUCUGCAUCACAGCCGAACCAAAAUAUCCUUAUCGUUUUACUCUUACGGAUUGUGAUAUAAUUCAGCAUCGAUGGAGGACCGACAUAUGUCACAGUUUUGAAUGAAAGUUGCUGGCUCGUUUGUACGAAUAUUAGAGAUUUGAACAGGAAAUGCAGUCCUGAGGCAUUUUCCAUGUCAAAACCUUCAUGGAAAUUCACCAGGUCUUGGUGGGCGUGUGAUGAGGUUUUGCGUUACAAAGCUUUCAACUUUACACAAUUUGGAUCAUUUAUUCCGAUCAUCAUGGUCUCGAGAGAAUUUGGAAUUUGCUUUGAGUUAUGAAUUAAAAACGGCUCGGUUUACACACAAAGAGCAAGAAGGGCGAGAAAACAAUGGAAUAUCUUCACAGAAAUUUGUGUUUAAAAGAACAUUGCCGAUAAUAAAUGUCUAGUUCAUUUCAACCACCAAAUUUUCUGCCUGCCUCAAAAGGAUGAUGUACAUAAAUAUGUGAUGAAAUAUACCUUUUGCACAGACUCAUUAAUUACUAGAUUCUGCUAACCGGUACUUCAACUUAAUAAAAUCUCUCAGCACAGUCUGCUUAGCCCGAACCAAAAUGUGUACACGUUUCAACUCCAUCGAUCUACAGAAAUGGCAGACAGACAUGACGGUUACGUAAGCCCUGGUUCUGGCUAAAAAUGAUAAUAACGAAUCUUGAAGCUCAUUCGCACUGGCGCCAUGUCCUGUUUAUUGCAAAAUUUUGGCCAUUUAUGAUUCAUUUCCUUGAAUUAACUCGCCUAUAAACACCGCUAUCAAGUGAAGCUAUUCAAUUGCGAAAAGCUUCGCAGGAUAAUUGUGCAGUCUGGUUCAGACAAGCAAGUGUGAUGAAGGUACAACAGUAAAUUUUUCACAGGUAGGUAUCUCCCCUCCUACAGCCCACCACCCACUCGUCGUAUGUUAUUACUACGACAUUAUCCAUUGUCUUUGUGUUUGAGAAGAUGUGAAAAAAAAAUUAACACCAUUUAAAUCUAUUCUCCAGUCCACAUAUGUACGACACAAUAAAUAAAUAGAAUAAAAUACUACAUAAUUGCA